rnacentral:rRNA from 1 species
AGUGAACGUUGGCGGCGUGGAUUAGGCAUGCAAGUCGAGCGAGAACCGUAGCAAUACGGGGACAGCGGCGAAAGGGACAGUAAUGUGUAGGUACCUACCCCGAGGUCUGGGAUAGCUGCGGGAAACUGCAGGUAAUACCGGAUAAUGUCUUCGGACCAAAGGUGUGAUUCCACCUUGGGAGGGGCCUGCAUCCUAUUAGCUAGUUGGCGGGGUAAUGGCCCACCAAGGCGACGAUGGGUAGCGGGUGUGAGAGCACGACCCGGCGUCAUUGGGACUGAGACACUGCCCAGACACCUACGGGUGGCUGCAGUCGAGGAUCUUCGGCAAUGGGCGAAAGCCUGACCGAGCGACGCCGCGUGCGGGAUGAAGGCCUUCGGGUUGUAAACCGCUGUCGUAGAGGAGGAAAUGCAGGUGGGUUCUCCCAUCUGUUUGACCUAUUCUAGGAGGAAGUACGGGCUAAGUUCGUGCCAGCCGCCGCCGUAA